AGGCUCGCCCAAAAGGAGAAGGCCUGACACCAUACCAGGGCAAGAAACGCUGCUUUGGUGAAUAUAAGUGCCCCAAAUGCAAGAGAAAAUGGAUGAGUGGAAACUCCUGGGCUAACAUGGGACAAGAAUGUAUCAAGUGCCACAUUAACGUUUAUCCUCACAAACAGAGACCCCUGGAAAAGCCGGACGGGCUGGAUGUUUCAGAUCAGAGCAAAGAGCAUCCCCAGCAUCUGUGUGAGAAGUGCAAAGUUUUGGGCUACUACUGCCGCCGUGUGCAAUAAACCUUCCAAGUGGCCUCUUCCCAUCCCCAUCAUCCUUAAAGAUUCUCUGGCAGCAUGCGAUCCACAGCAACACAACAAAUCAAGAUAAAAGCUAAAAUAAUUGCCAAUAUUGCCUAUCUAAUAAUAUGCCUUACUAUUAAUAGAAUGUAACAUUUCUCCUGUGCAUGUGCACACGUGCAGCAGGUAUUUACGGGACUAUGAUUUGUAUACAUAUAUAUGUAAAUGUAUAUAUAUAUAUGUACACACACAUAUAUAAAGUGUUAUUGAUGGUGUUCACAACAGAACUACAGUUACAGGUUCUGCUGAUUGUUUACACAGACCCUCUAUCACAGCCAGGUGAAAUGAAGUACUAUUCAAAAGGCAAGGUAUAAUAUUCACAAGGAAUAUAUGUUUUACGUAUGGCUUUUGCAGAGGUUCAAUAACUGUGGGGCCACUAAUUCCAAGCACUCGCCCACAACAUCAACAUUGUUCUUAUUAUAUGACAAGACAAAGGAAGAUGAAACAAGCCACAGCAUAAAAGGAGAAUUAUUGUUUUCCCAGUUUUAGAAAGUCUUAGAAUUUUGUGCUGUUGUUUUCUUGGACUUUUUCUAGUUGUUACCAUCUCUUGGGCAAGGCUUAGGCAAAAUCAUUUUUGCAGAACAUGGCAAAAAAAGUGAAUAAUUGUUUGAGGGUGUGAGUUUGGUAGAAAGGGAAUACCAUAAUGGGACCCAGAGCAUUGGGAAGGAUUCCAAGAGGUUUUUGGAGGAGAAGAAAUUGGCUUGCUUGUGCAACAGAUCCUUCUCUUGUCAUAUAAUCCCACUGAAAUGGUCCCUGUGUGCGCAUGGCUUGUUCAUUAGGCCACAAACAGACUAAAUUUUCUAUGAACAAGGGGAUAAGAAUACUUAAAACUGUCUCUAAAACCCUUAAUUGAAAGAUUAGCCAAACUUACUAUUUAUAGUAGUUUUAAAGCCACUUUUUGGAAAUAUUUUUUCCUGUUUACUACCAUAGAAAUUUGUUAUAAUACGAAACUUGUUAGCCAUAGGGGUGUUUUGAGGCAUGGAAAAACUGUAUAACCCUCCCUCCUUCUGUCUUCCUGAAGCACCUACACAGCUGAGGAGAAACGUAGGAGUUAUAUUUUGUUGUCCCAUUUCGGGUAGAACCUUGUGCAGGGGCAUUCUGCUGCAAAGAAGGAUCUCAUCAGGGAUUGGCAAAUAUGAACUGAAUGUACCUCGAGACAGUAUCCUCUUUGUAUGUCUACAGAAGAGUACAUUGGCAGAAGGACACAACAAGCAAUUCAUUUGUAGCAUUCACUAAAAAAUUACAGGGAUAAUGUUUGUUUGAGAUUGGGGGUUCUUUUGCAUCAACAAUUUCUAUUUUUAUGAAGUUUCCUUUAGAGAGAUUGAUUUGUGUGAGUGAUACUUAGAGAAAAUAAUUUAAAUCCUAAACAACUUGAUGUGAACUAAAUUUGUUCUGAGGACUAAUUCCAUAAUGCAAAGACAGAGGGGAGUUUAUGCCAAGUGAUAGCUUGUGUCCAGUCAAGCUCUUAUAAAGCAAGUUGAAAACUUACUGCAAGCAUUCAUAUAGGAAAUGGGAAGCUCUUUACAAAUUUGCUCUAGGGUGAAACUCUGGCCAUUUCCCUGCUUUGCUAUAAGCAGGGCAGAAUUGCAUCUGCUUAUUGUGGUGGGAGUGGCACAUGCAUAUCUUGCAAAUUCAUAAUUAAUGGGUAGGCCAGGCAACCCAGCCUACUGAUCAUAACAUGGAGCAAUGGAUAAGCGUUCUGACCCCCGGCUUCUGACCACAGCUCUUCCAUUAGCUCCCUGAUUUUGGGCAAGUCACAAGAUCUUUCUGGACCUCAGUUUCCCCAGCUGCAAAAUGGGGAUAAUAAUACUUCAGUAUACCUACCUCACAGGAGAGUUGUGAGGUUUACUUAAUAUCUCUAAGUAUUUUGGCAUCACUGGAUGAAAAGUGCUAUGUAAUGCUAAAAUAGUAUUAACUAAAUUAAUUACUUGGAAACUACUUUUGCCCAGUUGGCAAUUCCGUCAACUAAAAUAGCUGCAAAUUACAUUAUUGAAAGUAACACUAAUAAACAGUUUAGUUGCCUCAGUGAAGACAUGCAGUUUUAGCAUUUUCAAAUGCAAACGCAUUCUUUUGCACAGAUUCACAAAUUACCUUAGAGACAAAUUCUCUCAACAAAGAUACUAAUCUGUCUAUACAAAUAAGAAUAAGAAAAUACACAAGCAAAUCUAGGGGUGGAUUUUCUAAGCUUGACCUCUAGGAUUAAUCUCAAUAGUUUGUUUCAAGCAUGAGUAAUUUUGAAAGAGCAGCAUUCUAAACCAGAUCUAUUUUUCCUCUUGAGCACUUAAUAGUACAUGAACAAAAAAAGAAAAAAUAAAUCAUCUUGAUGAUUCACAUCCAGCUAAAGGAUGUGUAGAGAAACCCCCUUAGAUGAAGAUAAGGGGAAAUGUUAUUUUUUUUUCUCCUUGAAACUAAGAUGUUGCUAUCAAAUGUUUUGUUCUGUAUUGAAAUAGUUUCCAUGUUAUGAUAACCACUAGAUCAGUAAAAUAGCACAACCCUUGAUAUAGCUGUAUCAACGUAUCGCACACCACCAGGUUGGACAAAAAGCUGACUAAAGAUACCAUUAUAAGCAAGUGCUGGUAUUUUCAUGACAGUGCCCUGUUAAAAAUUUUUUAUCCACAUUCAACACUGCAAGGCAAUGCCUUAAGCUUAUGGAUUUUUAGAUUCUACUAAAAAUACACGUGAUCUACUUUAACACAAUUAAUGCCUAUAGGUGUAGCAUAAUAACUCUUAAGAGCAUAGUUACAAGAGUUCAGUAUUUAUAUCACUGAUACGUUCUUAGUCAGAAGACAUAUAAAGUAUUUAAGUAAUACUUAGCAUAUCUGUAAUAAAGAGGAGAACAGACUUUCCCCUGCACUAACGUUGGGGAGAAGUAAAUAAGGAACAGAGUGUGAGGAAGAGCAAAAGCAACACUGCCGUAGUUUGUACUGCCUAAGUCAGAGACUGUGGAUCCCUCCUGGAGCGGGGUGCAGAUGUGAUCAGGCCUUGGGCACCCCCCUGCACAGGGCUGAAACCUCUCUCCCUGCCAAGCUGGUGCCUGGGAAAGGCAGGAGCACCAAGCUUAUGCGAGGGGAGCAUUCCUCUGUCCCUCCCUGCAUGAGGUUUGCUCAUAGGAUUGCAGCACUGGGCCCGGGGCAUUUGCUCCACACUCAAGUCUGUGUAGUUUGUGAGUUGCUGGAAAAAUACAUCUGCAUAAGUCAUGUAUGACAGCUUAUGACCUAUUGGCUUUUAGCUCAUGGCACAGAAGGGACAUUUCUGAAUUUUCUGAAUUUCAAAGGGAAAAAGAAUUGGUUACAAAAUGUAGAUCUCUUCUAUUCCCUCCCUCCCUUCAAAGGUAAUUCACCUAUAGAUGUAACUAACUUUCCAAAACUUAAAAAUUCAGAUUUUUGACAGGAAAAAAAAAGGAGUUGAUUUCUCUUAAGUUUUUGUGAAUGCUUCCUGAUGUUCUCUUUAACUAGCUCUACAUUUAGAACAUCAGCUAGCAAUCCUUGAAGGCAUUUGUAGACAGUCUUAGCAGAGGUGAAGCAAGCAUCAGUAAAGAACUUUAAACCAAAACAGGCCUCCCUAAAUUGCAUAUUCUUUAGGGAUGUACCUGAGAGCAGUCUGGUUCUAUGCAUUUAUUUGGCAAACUGGAUUUUUAACCUCAGAUGCUUGCUGUUGACAGCGUACCAAUCCAUCCAGCAUGCACUUUUUUUUUUUAAAUUUCACCCCUUUUUAGAGAUUUUUUUCAACUUUCAUUUAUUUCUUUAAAAAAAAAAGAAAAAAGAAAAAAGAGACAAAGAAACAAAAUGACAAUUUGUUUCAUGAGUUGGUCAGAACAUUUCACAUUGAAUUGUCCUUGGCAUUGGCACUGCUCUGGAGAAAAGUACCAGUAAUUUGAAAUGUGUGUUGUAGGUUAGCUGCUUUAACUUGAUGAGGCUCCAAUGAAGUUGUUACAAAUACUUCAUUCAAUGGUCAUAAAGAAAAAUUCCUGUAGUUUAAAGGAUGGGCCCAUUUUAGCCAGUUUCUACUGCUGCUACCACAGACAGCCACACAAUGAUGCCACACAAGCAAAGUUUGAGGCCUUUUUGUCUCAAAGUUGCUUUUUGAUUUCAGAUAAAUACACAAGAGUAUAUAUUAUUUCUGAAAAUAGGUGUAUUUUGAAGUUCCCCAUUAUAUGGGACUUAGUUUUUAAACUAAAAAUGUGAAGUUACGUGUGUCUGAGAGAAGCCUUAUACCUAGAAGUAUUAUCUACGUUUUACCUUUUUGUAUAACGUGAAAUUUAGAUUAUACAUGGGUUACAUACUGUGACACUCUAGUUUGGUUUUUUUUUAAAAAAAACCUACUUAAAAGAUCAAAAGUUAACAGCUUCUGGAAAUGUCAGACUUCCUAGAUUAGUGCUCUUAGUCCUGAAGUCACGCAGAAGAUUUUUUUUUUCCUAGUAUGGAUCCUGAGAGUUGUCUACUGAACAGUAUGAAAUAAAUCAUCAACACGUGUUUUUCAAGUUAAGUAGAUUGACAUAUAUUUUCCACUUGCCUUUGCCAACAUACUUUAAAAUGAGAUGGAACUAUCCCCAUACAAAAAUCAUUCUUUCAGAUAUCACUCCGCUCCCAACUGGGCUUCAACCCCUAUCUCCUUCCUAUCUGCAAAACCAGUGCUGUCCACUCAGUUUGUUGUAUCACUCAAGUGCUCAGAGGGCUGUUUGAGAUCUUAGAUAUAGGGAUGAUGGAUUGUGUUUCUAGGAUGAAUUUCAAAGGGACAAUCGUGUGCAGUUACUAGCUAUAGAUGAUUGAUAUAAAUGUUUACCCCUGUAUGAAGUAUUUUACAGUUUUACUUGCAGAUGUGUAUUUAUCUUGAGUUAUACUUGACAUAGAGUUUCUUUCAAUUUUUUUUUUUAAUCCUAUGUGUGUAUUUUGGAAACCUUUUUAGAUGUUAAAAUUUUUGAAUGGUUACAAAUAUUUCUUAUAAUACUGAAUUGUUAUCUUAUCUGGAAACUCUUUGCAGUAACUUUUUUGUAUAUAUUUGAGGGCCUUUUUAAAAAAGUAUUGUUUGUUUUUUGGGCAAAGUUUUUAAAAUUUGGAAGCUUUCAGAAGGGCCUUUCUCUCAACUAGGAUACUAACAGAGGUAAGAGUUUUCUUAAAUAUUUUGCAGUAUUUUGCAGAACUAAGGAUGUAUCCUCAAGAAAAUAUUUAUGGAAAUAAUUUACUUUUUUUUUUUACAAUGCUUUUGUCUGUAUAAAGUAUGCAACAGAACUACAUUAAGAAGGAAAUAUUGUCUACAUAAAAUAUUAUAUGAAAGUUGGUACAUAAUUCUGACAAAAAAACCUUGCAAUUCUUUAAGCCAUAUUGUUUUUGUUAUCCUUGGAUGAAAAUAUCAGUAUUAAGUAACCAGUAUAUUAUUCAAGUGCUUAGACUUAUAUGAAAAUGCUUAUACAGUUUAUUUAUGUAUUUGGGGAAGGAUUGCUAGAAGAGCUAUCACUAGACAUGUAGCAAGUGAGGAGCAAAUAACAGUAAACUGUCACUUUAUGGCCUUGUGAGAGACACAAAAAACACUGAAAGCACCGUAGAGACACGGCUUUCAGAAACUCCGAAGCACAAGUGUUGGGUUUCAAAUGGUGGUUCUUUCCUUCCCCAUAACCAGAGGGGAAGAAAGUUGGUUGGGACACUGUUUAACUUGACUUUCACAACUCUUUGCAAACUGUGAGCUCAGCUAUGCAGUAUCGGCUACAGCAAUAAUAUCAAUCAAAGGGUAUAAGAAGAAAAAGAUUGAAGUAGAUUAUUGUAGGGGUUUAUGUUUAUUUUAAUUAGAACUCAUAGCAAUAUAGAAUAUGCAUGUGCACGUAUUCAAAGCAUUUUACACUUUACAUUUCAUGUAGUUUGAUUAUAUUAUGAAGGAUUGAGUUUUUAGUUUGAUAUUUUACCAUGCUAAAAUGGGAGGUCUGCCCAACCCUGUACUGGAUUCUUGUUUUCUUUAAAAGGUUAUUUAGUACAGCACUCACUGCAUUGUCUAAUAGUGCUAAAACUAACACUAUCUUAUGAAUUUCUUCAGCUUUAAAAAAAUUAACCUAAUGAUUAUUACAUUUGUUUAGCUGUACCCACUGACCUUGUCAGAUUCAGUUGGCAACUUGUGUAAUUUCUUUUUCUGUAACUGUUAAUAAACUUGUACAGCUAAAACAAACAAACAAAACCAAUGGACAAAGGCCUCAGAGGUACCAGUUCUGCUUCAGCAAUCAAGAUGACAGCUUGCUCAUCUGGUGACUGUGUUGCUAAAGAGACUGUAAAACCUCUGUUGUGGAUUGUCCAUUAAAUGGCAUUCCGACAUGUGCCUUAUUUGCUGGAUAGUAUACAGCUUUCUUCUAGUAUUCUAGCAGUUUAAUGCUGUAUUAAAAGUACUGCAAAAAAAUCA